AUUGAACGCUGGCGGCAGGCUUAACACAUGCAAGUCGAGCGGGGUGCUGGUGCUUGCACUAUCACUUAGCGGCGGACGGGUGAGUAAUGCUUAGGAAUCUGCCUAUUAGUGGGGGACAACACCUCGAAAGGGAUGCUAAUACCGCAUACGUCCUCCGGGAGAAAGCAGGGGAUCACUUGUGACCUUGGGCUAAUAGAUGAGCCGAGGUCGGAUUAGCUAGUUGGUGGGGUAAAGGCCUACCAAGGCGACGAUCUGUAGCGGGUCUGAGAGGAUGAUCCGCCACACUGGGACUGAGACACGGCCCAGACUCCUACGGGAGGCAGCAGUGGGGAAUAUUGGACAAUGGGGGGAACCCUGAUCCAGCCAUGCCGCGUGUGUGAAGAAGGCCUUAUGGUUGUAAAGCACUUUAAGCGAGGAGGAGGCUCUUUUGGUUAAUACCCAAGAUGAGUGGACGUUACUCGCAGAAUAAGCACCGGCUAACUCUGUGCCAGCCGCCGCAGUAA
rnacentral:rRNA from 1 species